UCAGGUAGGUCAACAUGUGUAGCAGUGCACAAUAGGAGAUGUAUUGUUCUAGGUCGCCCUUCCUAUUAGUCCGUUAUAGCUUUGGAGGCUAAUUGUCAGUGGACAAUCAAUCAACUUGGAAUAAAGCUUCAAAUAACCUAAACAGAGUUCUGGUGAUUCGUCACAAUAUGCUAUGAUGGUGUUUAUAAUCAUGUCUUGCAAUUGUUGGAUCGAAGAUGCUAUAGAAGCGUACUUGUUUGUUUUGAGUAUUCAAUGACUUGUCAGGAAGAUUCACUUGUGAGAGCAAUGGAUUAGGGAAAAUUGGCAGUAUCGAUAAUGAAUGACUGAAAUCAUGACAUAGCUAUUACAGAUGUUUUCUAGCCAUGUCAUAACAUAUGUUUGAUCAAAAAAGUUUUUCAUUGAGUGAAAUGCGAAGUUUAAAGUUAAUUGUUUUUCCAACAUAGAAAUGUGACGUUCUUUUAGGGAAUGGACUAAUACAGAAAUAGCACAAACCAAAUUGGAACGAAGGGGCGGGGGUACCAUUUUUAUGCAAUCCAGUAAGUAGUGAAUCUGGCUAUUACAGGUGUUUUCUAGGUACUAUAAAUUCUGAAGCUCCGAGGGAAUAUCUUCGUGAUCAAGGUGCUGCAUCACCAAUUUAGCACGUCAACUGGCUGGUUAAUUCCAACGAUAGGGAGAAUAAGAGUACUUUUUCUGCAACAAUUACUUUUUGAUCUGGAGUAAUUUGUUUGAAGGAAUUAAGAUUUUGAUCAUAAUGAUAUACAGAGCAAAAUGGUUACACAUGAUUCAUAUAGUCGAUUCCAUCUUUUUUUGGGAUCGAGGCAUAAAUCAUUGAUACUAAUGAUAGCUCAUAAUUUACAGUUCAAUAAAAGGAGAAUAAGAGAUUGAACAAUCACUAUCUUUAGCCUUUAGGCUUUCCUAAUGGAAUGGUGUUGAUGGUGAUGAUUUGAAGAGGUACUCAAUAGCAUGGAAGCAAUAGAGUGGAAAGCGUUUACAUCCACCUCUGUUGAAGAUUGCAACAUGUUUAACACCAAAGAGUCGUAUUCUGAGUUUACCCUAAUUUUAAAGCAAGGCACAGAACAUUUAUUUACACCAAUAUAUUAAGAAAGGCACUUCAGUGAUUCCUUUUCUCCCUGCCAAGGCAUUGCAUCUAUAAAUUAUUUGAUCUUUCUGCAGUACUGCUAUAUAUCUGUUAACAUGGCACUUUCAGGUCAAAUUGUCUGGCAAAUUUUAUCGUCCACUCCAGAUUUUAGGAGUCGCCAAAGCAUUCCGCUAUUGAAAACUCCGAAUGCAAAAAUCACCAAACUAAAUGAACAAAAACUCAAAAUAGGAAGUAUCAAGAGCAGACAGAGGUUCUCGAUCGCGCAUUCAAUGGUCAAUCCUGAAAUUGGCAAACGUUCACUUUCACCAUCCAACACAAUCGAAACAUUCUACGCCAGCAUAAAUAACAAGGACCUGAACCAACUGUCCUUGCUCAUAUCUCAAGAUUGUUUCAUUGAUGAUUUCUCAUUCCCUCAAUCAUUUCAAGGGAGAAAGGAGGCAUAAAAAUUUCUGGAACAACUAACCACGAGCAUGGGCCAAGACACAGAAUUAAGCAUAGAUAACAUUUAUGAAGGUGUUGAUCUUACAGCAAUAGUAAAAUGGCAUUUAGAGUGGAAGAAGAAGGAAGUUCCCUUCACAAGACGUUGCAGUUACUAUGAAUUAUCAAGUGAUGGAGAACAAAUACUCAUGAAGUAAAAUAAUCCACACCUGUCAAAGAAGUCAUUUUAAAUUUAAUUUAAGCCUCUUACUUUAUCAGCACAAGCAUAAAUAUUGAUGAACAAAUAACGUUUGCAGGAAUGCUCAAGUUAUUUCAGAAUCAUCUAUGAUACCAAGAAUUUUGGUAUGUCUAUAACCUGUUUUUUUGGUAUGUCUAUAACCUGUUUUUUUAACAUUGGCGAAUAGAAUCCUUAAUUCUCCAAGAGUUGUAACACUGCUACAAAAUCACAUUUUACCCACUGAAAUUUCCCACCGAAAAAUGUUUGGUCGCUACUUACACCGAAUUUUGGUGGGAAAAAACUAAAUAAUAGUGUUUCCACACAGAAAAAUCAGAAAGUUUCCCAGCGUUUCAAUGGGAACCUGUUUUCCAACAUGUAUUUUCCGAGUGAGUUGGUUCGAUCGAAAUGAGGUGGGAAAAUUAUGUUUUAUAACACAAAAUUCCACUGAAUGUCGGUGGGAUAAACCUCUGUUUCUAGUAGUGACUGUUUCAUUAACACGCCCUUUUGUUGUCCUGUCAAAAAACAAGCGGUGUUCAAUAUGGUAACUUCAAUAUUUGACGACAUCCCUAAGGCUGCUAGGAGUAUGUCAAUCUUUUUUUGUUACAUUUUAAACUAUAAGAAAUUAAAAAGGAAAAGAAAAUUCUCACAGGGCAUGAAUUUUGUUUUUUCCCUUUGCAGGGUUUCUAAAGAACCAC